CUCCCUCCUCUUCCUCCUCAGGGAUAUACUCUGGUUGAGUAUGAAACCUACAAAGAAGCGCAGGCGGCCAUGGAGGGGCUGAACGGGCAGGAGCUGAUGGGGCAGCCCAUCAGCGUGGAUUGGUGCUUCGUGAGAGGGCCCCCCAAGGGGAAGAGAAGGGGCGGGCCCCGGCGGAGCAGGAGCCCCGACAGGCGACGCCGAUGAUGGACCCUCAUCCCUACCCGUGCGUUCCACGUCCAAACUGGGAGAACUGGGAGGGGAAAAAGGGGCCGGUGAUGGGGGGGGGUGGGGGGGGUUUGUAUUUUGGGGCGUUUGAGGAACAGUUCAUCGCUUCGGCCGAUUCGAUCCCUCCCAAAAUUUUACUGUUUUCAAGCAAAAACGGGGGAGGGAAGAAGCGACGCCUGAGGUUUGGAGGGGGGGGUGCAGCCCCCUGAGCCUGGGGACGCCCCAAAACCCCCCCUUUUUUUAAGCAUUUUGUUACCCCUGGAGUGAGGGGGGUGUUUUGGCCUCUCUUUGGGGUUUUUUUGGGAGAAAAAUUGGUUUUCUACCACCCCCUGGGACGAGCGCUCCCCCAUCUCCCAAGGGAUUUAUUACGUUUGCGCCUCAAUUCCGCCUUUUAAAGAACUGGGUUUUGGUGUAAAAAUCCUCCUUUCGUUAGUUUUGUUAUUUGUCCUUAAUUAAAACAUUCUGAGAAGCCGGAA